GCCCGGCUAGCUCAAUCGGUAGAGCGUGAGACUCUUAUUCUAGGGAUCUCAAGGCUGUGGGUUCGACCCCCACGUUGGGCG
rfam:Pneumocystis murina B123 supercont1.4, whole genome shotgun sequence.